AGUAGGGAAUAUUGCUCAAUGGGCGAAAGCCUGAAGCAGCAACGCCGCGUGUGCGAUGAAGGCCUUCGGGUCGUAAAGCACUUUUCUGAGAGAUGAGAAAGGACAGUAUCUCAGGAAUAAGUCUCGGCUAACUACGUGCCAGCAGCCGCGGUAAAACGUAGGAGGCGAGCGUUAUCCGGAUUCACUGGGCGUAAAGCGCGUGCAGGCGGUUCGGUAAGUUGGGCGUGAAAUCUCCUGGCUUAACUAGGAGAGGUCGUUCAAUACUACCGGGCUUGAGAGUGGUAGAGGAAGAUGGAAUUCCAGGUGUAGUGGUGAAAUGCGUAGAUAUCUGGAGGAACACCAGUGGCGAAAGCGAUCUUCUGGACCAUUUCUGACGCUCAGACGCGAAAGCUAGGGUAGUAAA
rnacentral:rRNA from 1 species